UUGUCCUACGGGAGGCAGCAGUGGGGAAUAUUGGGCAAUGGGCGCAAGCCUGACCCAGCAACACCGCGUGAAGGAAGAAGGCUUUCGGGUUGUAAACUUCUCUUCUCAGGGACGAAGAAAGUGACGGUACUUGAGGAAUAAGCCACGGCUAACUACGUGCCAGCAGCCGCGGUAAUACGUAGGUGGCAAGCGUUAUCCGGAUUUAUUGGGUGUAAAGGGCGUGUAGGCGGGAGCGCAAGUCAGAUGUGAAAACUCAGGGCUCAACCCUGGGCCUGCAUUUGAAACUGUGUUUCUUGAGUGCUGGG
rnacentral:rRNA from 1 species